rnacentral:RNase_P_RNA from 1 species
CGAGUGUGAAAGACAAUCGCGGCGGCUUUUGCCGAUGAGGAAAGUCCGAGCUCCGCAGGGCGGGAUGCCGGCUAACGGCCGGCGAGGGUGACCUUAGGGAAAGUGCAACAGAAAGCAAACCGCCAGCUUUGCUGGUAAGGGUGAAACGGCGUGGUAAGAGCACACCAGCAAUUUGGUAACAAAUUGGCUUUGUAAACCCCAUCCGGAGCAAGACCAAAUAGGGGAGGGUUGAGGCGGCCCGCUGACCUUCCGGGUUGUGUCGCUUGAGCGUGCCAGCGAUGGUGCGCCUAGAUAAAUGAUUGUCUGAAAAAACAGAACUCGGCUUAUUGAUCACUCAACAU